AGCUCUAUGGGUUUAAUAUAGAGUGCCUCCUGCUCAAUGAAUAAUUAUAUUUUAAUAGCCGCAGUACCUUGACUGUGCUAAGGUAGCAUAAUAAAUUGUCCUUUAAUUGAGGACUGGGAUCAAAGGAUAAUUGAUUAGGAACUUCCUUUGUUGUUAGUGUUUGAAAUUGCUUAUGAGGUGAAAAUUCCUCAAAAGAAAAAGAUAGACGAGAAGACCCUUAGAGCUUGGAAGAUUUUCAUGCCCAUUUCAUGAGUGGUUUUUGUUGGGGUGACAGGUAUCCAGUAGAAUGUUACUAAAUUUAUACUCACCAUUAGUUUUAAUGAUAAAGCUACCUAAGGGAUAACAGCAUAAUUUUUUAGAAAGAUUAUGACCUCGAUGUUGGACUAGGGACCUUAUAAUUAUAAGUUAAAAGGGAUUAGUUCUGUUCGAACAAUAACUCCU
rnacentral:rRNA from 1 species